GGGAAACUCACCAGGUCCAGACAUAAUAAGGAUUGACAGAUUGAUAGCUCUUUCUUGAUUUUAUGGGUGGUGGUGCAUGGCCGUUCUUAGUUCGUGGAGUGAUUUGUCUGCUUAAUUGCGUUAACGAACGAGACCUUAACCUGCUAAAUAGGAGCGCCUAUCUUCGGAUAAGCGCCUUUCUUCUUAGAGGGACUAUCGUAGUUACAUACGAUGGAAGUUUGAGGCAAUAA
rnacentral:rRNA from 1 species